rnacentral:rRNA from 1 species
AUUGAACGCUGGCGGCAUGCUUUACACAUGCAAGUCGAACGGUAACAGGCCGCAAGGUGCUGACGAGUGGCGAACGGGUGAGUAAUGCAUCGGAACGUGCCCAGUCAUGGGGGAUAACGCAGCGAAAGCUGCGCUAAUACCGCAUACGAUCUAUGGAUGAAAGCGGGGGACCGUAAGGCCUCGCGCGAUUGGAGCGGCCGAUGGCAGAUUAGGUAGUUGGUGGGGUAAAGGCUCACCAAGCCGACAAUCUGUAGCUGGUCUGAGAGGGCGACCAGCCACACUGGGACUGAGACACGGCCCAGAAUCCUACGGGAGGCAGCAGUGGGGAAUUUUGGACAAUGGGCGCAAGCCUGAUCCAGCAAUGCCGCGUGCAGGAAGAAGGCCUCCGGGUUGUAAACUGCUUUUGUACGGAACGAAAGGACUCCUUCUAAUAAAGGGGGUCCAUGACGGUACCGUAAGAAUAAGCACCGGCUAACUACGUGCCAGCAGCCGCCGUAACAC